AGGAGUGAACCGGUAGGAUGGAAACGGAUAAAGCCAACGAAUAAGCCCGUAUUCAGCUAGUCGGUAGCGUGCAGCAUUCUUGUGUGCCCGAUAGUGUGCAUGGGAGUGUGUGUUAUGCUGUCGGCUAGUGCAUUUGCGGGUUGUGUGCGCCGAGGCGUGUGAUCGUACCGCAAUAUGAACUGUUCGGAGAGGCCUUGCUUCGGCUUGGUACCUACGAGUGGGGAGUAUAGUCGGGGUUGCACGUACGCUUUAUUGGGCUAGGAGGACUCGCGCUGCGGUAUUGUGAGGCCGGCGCCUUGGUGAGUCGCAUGCGACUUACCCUUGGUGUUCGGUAUCUGUGCAUUGCCGUACCGCCCUGGCCCAUCCUCGGUGUAAAAGUUGGUCAUUUCUCCGACCCGUCUUGAAACACGGACCAAGGAGUCUAGCGUAUACGCGAGUCAUUGGGUGGAAAACCCAUAGGCGAAAUGAAAGUGAAUGUCUCUUUACGGGACUGAUAUGCAAUCCGUUGCGCUACGGUGUACCGGAGCACCAUAGCCCCAUCUCGACUGCUUGCAGUGGGGUGGAGGUAAGCGUAUUCGCUGGUACCCGAAAGAUGGUGAACUAUGCCUGAGCAGGAUGAAGCCAGAGGAAACUCUGGUGGAGGUCCGAACCGCUUCUGACGUGCAA
rnacentral:rRNA from 1 species